CUCAGAGGGAUAGAUGACAUCUUAAAGAGAUGGGUCAUGGCAUUUCUCAGGAAAACAUUCAAGUAACAUUCUGAUGCACAGUGAUCUAUCGUUGGAAAGAGGUUGGUAAAUGCUCAGGAAGCAUACAGGGUUUUAAGUAUCCUAUAUGCGUUUUUUUUUUCUGGGCCAAAGAAAGUUCAAGUUGUGUAUCAUGGUUACCAACGGAACUAGAUCAUGGAUGCUUUUAAACUCUAUACUACAGCUGAGGAUGAAAGAGAAAAAAAUAAAACAGGUACCAUGAUUGGCAACAAGACGAUAAUGGGUCAGUGCCGACUCGCAACUCUGGAGGACUCCGAUGCCAGCCCAGUAGCGGUAACCCUGUAAGACACCUUGGAGUGAGACUACAGCACCAGCACAGGUUUCUAUAGAGCCAAUCACACUCAGAAUCUGCUUCUGCAGUCCUUUGACCCACUCACUCCAACAAGAAGUCCAUAGCUAAGCGCGAGAAAAGAACACUCCUAGAGCAACCAAACAAGUGCCAUGAGCUUCCCGAAAAGGCACGAAUGAAUAGGACAAAAGUAUCCCAGGACAUCAGUGUCCAAGCAAUCUCAGGAAUGAAGAAACACCAGGUGGUUAGGUGGCAGCCAUAUCCACUAGAAACCGUGAGUCAUGAAGUCACCCGGCUAAGCCUGACACAGCUCCAGCGAAGCUGAGCCAAUCGAGGCACACGCUGCCCUUCUGUCUCUAACUUCUGGGUUUUGGUCUCUCCAUGUUGCUAGGGACUUUCUGCAUUGAUUCAUUUUAUGUCUUUUCCUGGGAAAAUUAUGUCUAAGUCUUUUUUUGGGUAUAAUCCUAAAAUUAACUUUAUCUGGCUCUAUCUGGAGGUUUUCUUUAUGCCCUGGAGACUAUGAAGCACAGAGAAGCACACAGCUAGAUGAGGCCAUUACUCCAGGAAUUGUCUUGUGGUUUCUGCCCCUGAGCAGGCUCUAACAGUAUAAUUGGUGCAGGGUAAACAGACAAUAGCAAACUCUGACUGGCCAGGAGAAUGGUUACAGAUUCAAGCCUCCAUCUACAAUACUCUUAGAGCUCUCUGAAAGUGUAGUUUAAAGAUAGGGAUGGUACAAGGUACAUCCUGGGGGAAUAACAACGCAGUAAGAUAAGGUUGACUAAAAUAAGUUCUUCCUACUUUAUAGUGUAGAAGAUGAAAUGUACAGUAAAAGAAGUGAGGUAUUAGUAUUUGCUAGUCAUAAAAAGACCUGUUCAUAUUUUUCUGUUUGUCUGGGGUGCUUUCAAACUGCAAACACUGCCAACCUAAAAGCAGGCUGUCAUAUAAUGAAUGAGUUUCCCUUGGAGGAGACAUUUUUUAGGUUGUCUAAACUGGAGUUACAGGGUUGGUAAUAAAACCUGUCCUGCCUGUAUUUUCUAAUUGUGAGUAGACUUGUAAUGUGGGACGUGUAAUGAAAAAUUGAACACACAAUCUGUAUUCCUUGGAUAAUCAUUAGUCUGCCUUUGUUCUUGAAACAUGUAUAACUGGUUGCUAGUCAGUCAGUCAUAUUACCCAAGUGAUAAGGGCAGAGUGACAGAGAAGAGGAGUGUCAUUAGUCUAUUUCAGCCUUCCUUGCAGUUAGGUAAGACUAUGAUCCUAGAUAUGGUUGCAAAGAAGGCCAGCUGUUGCCCAGGAGUCACCAUUUACAAGGAAGCAACACAAGGCUCAACCUCAUUGGCAGAGCAAGAAGUAUCUGACUUGGGGAUCUGACUGCUGCAUCAGCUAUACCUAAUUACCACAGAGAGAGUGCUUGGUGGGCUCUGAAUGGAACAACACUGCCUUAAAGACAUCAAUGCCCUGAGGAUAAUAUAUGUGUACAUAGGUUUACUUAAGUUGGUUUAAUUAAGAAGGGAAAAUAUUUCAGAAACAAGAAAAACAGUUAAGAUAGCAUCUGUUAAAACGAUUAAAAAUGAGACUAAAAAUGAGAAGAAAGGACAGUGGAUUUAUUAAGUAUUCCCAGAAAAUAAUGGGUAUGAUCCUGCUAGUAAAACACCUCGAGAGGAUUGUCUCACAAAUUCAUUCCAUUAUGGUUAGGGGGAAACAGGCAUUUUUCUAGGUGGCAGAAAAACUUUAGAGGAAAAUGUAUCUUAUAAAAAAAUUUCAUAAAUUAGCAUGUAUUCCAACAAUUUAUUCUUAAGUAUAACUCAUAUUUUGAUUAAGCCUGAAUUAUCAGAGGCAGUUUAAAUAAACACAAUGUAUAAUAAACACAACCUAGAAGUGUAUGUAUGGACGUAUGUACAGAUGUAUGCUAUGUAUAUGGGUGCUUUGCCUGAAUCUGUGAGUAAAAUACUCUUGCAGGCCAGGAGAGGAUGCUGGAUCCAGUGGAAGAGGAAUUACGGCUGUGAGCCACCCAGUGGUUGCUGGGAAUUGAAUCAUCUGGACCAGCAGCCAGUGCUCUUAACAGCUGUGCCAUUUCUUCCUUCUCCAAUCAGAUGGCCUCUUAAACCUAGGCAUCAACCUCUGUAUUCUCUGUAUUACUAACUGGAUGUUGUGCAAUGUGGUAUUGCAAUUCACUUAUAAUGAAUAGCUAAAAAUAGUUACUUAGGUUUGCCAGCCUUUAGCUGUGGUAUUUGGCUUACAGGAAAUACAGGUAAUAGAAAAACUAACUAAUGGAUACUAUGACGAGGACAAUUGCAGGCCGGACAUUCUGUAGAAAAAAACCGCAUCUACUUCUAACAUAGAAACAAAUCAAGCACCUAACCAACCAAUCAGACAAAGGCUGGGUUAGAAAUAACAGCAAUGUAAUGCUGUGAUGGGCACUUGGCUGGACAAAGAUUGGGAUAAGCUCAAUGCUGUAAGAAUAUAUUAUGGAUAUAUAGACUGGAGAGAUGGUGUGUGUGUGUGUGUGUGUGUGUGUGUGUGUGUGUGUGUGUGUUUGUGUGUGUAGGGCACUACUAAGAGAUUGGAUCAGUGCCUUGCAUAUGCUAGGCAAAAGUUCUUUUUCUUGACUAUAUCCCCAGUCCCAAAACAUUUUAUUAAUUUAUUUAUUUCUUAAAGAUGUCAAUAUUGGCUGGAGAGAUGGAUGGCUUAGCUGUUAAGUGUGCUUGCUGCUCUAUCACAAGGAUCAGAGUUCAGAUCCCAGUACCAAUGUCAGGAUGCUCACCAACACCUGUAAUCCCAGAUCCCAGGGAUCUGAUACUGUUUCCUGGCCUCUCAGCACACCCAUAACACAUACACACACACACACACACACACACACACACACACACACACACACACACACAGACACACACACACUCAUAUACUAACAGACACUAAUACACAUUAAAAUAUUAAGGUUAAGCUUAGGGGAAAUACUAUGCUGAAUAAUUUCAGAUAAAUUGCUGCUGUAGAAUUGUUCUUCAUAUUUCACUCUCUAUAGAUUUAAUACUAAAAAACUACAAAAGAAAUUGUGGUACAAUGUAGAUAUAAAGCUAUUUCCAUGAUCAUAAACCUUCUUAGAUGAAGGGAAACAAGUAUCCAAGAAAUUAAGUAAAACAGUCUGUUGUCGCUCAGUCCCCUCUAGUUAUUGAAAGAAGUCGGGGCUUGGAGAACAAACUGCUCUUAGAAUCAACAAGCUCUGCGUACUGCAGAGAGCCUGGAGAGAGGGCUCCGCAGUUAAGAGAUGUGCUGCUCUUCCAGAGGACCCAGUUCAGUUCUCAGCACUCAUGCUACUUGCCUCCUGCACUCACAUGCACACAGACACAUAGAUGUUCACACUUUAUUAAAAAAAUUACAAAGGGGCAGGUGCUGGGGAGAUGGCUCUAUAGUUAAGACACUGUGUGAUUCCCACACCCACAUGGUGGCUCACGACCAUCUAUAACUCUAGUUCCAGGGGACAGGACACCCCCUUCUGAUCUCCCUGAGUACCAGGCACACAAGUGGUGCAGACACACAUGCAGGCAAAACAUUCAUGCACAUAAACAAGGCCCCAACCCCAACCAACCCCAAACCAAAACUCAACAACAACAAAGUGCCAUGUACAGAGGUUCUCCACUGAAGCCACACUUACAGUUUGUCCUUUGGGAGACCCUUCCUCAGUCAGUUUCUCAAACAUCUCUUUAGCUGCCUGGAUAUUCUGUGUGAGGUAAUCACCAAACAAGAGAGCAUAGGACACUCUCUCCAGGGCUUUGGUGUGAUUCAUGCCUGCUGCCU